rnacentral:rRNA from 1 species
ACGGGUGCGAAGUUGUUGAUGCCCUGCUUCCAGGAAAAGCCUCUAAGCUUCAGGUACAUGUUGACCGUACCCCAAACCGACACAGGUGGUCAGGUAGAGAAUACUAAGGCGCUUGAGAGAACUCGGGUGAAGGAACUAGGCAAAAUAGUACCGUAACUUCGGGAGAAGGUACGCCAGAGCUGGUGAAAUCCACACGGAUGGAGCCGGAGCUGGCCGCAGUGACCAGGUGGCUGGGACUGUUUAUUAAAAACACAGCACUCUGCAAAAUCGAAAGAUGACGUAUAGGGUGUGACACCUGCCCGGUGCCGGAAGGUUAAUUGAUGGGGUUAGCGUAUGCGAAGCUCUUGAUCGAAGCCCCGGUAAACGGCGGCCGUAACUAUAACGGUCCUAAGGUAGCGAAAUUCCUUGUCGGGUAAGUUCCGACCUGCACGAAUGGUGUAACCAUGGCCACGCUGUCUCCACCCGAGACUCAGUGAAAUUGAAAUCGCCGUGAAGAUGCGGUGUACCCGCGGCUAGACGGAAAGACCCCGUGAACCUUUACUACAGCUUGGCACUGAACAUUGAACCUCCAUGUGUAGGAUAGGUGGGAGGCUUUGAAGCGUUGGCGCUAGUUGACGUGGAGCCAUCCUUGAAAUACCACCCUUGUAUGUUUGAUGUUCUAACUUAGGCCCAUUAUCUGGGUCGAGGACAGUGCCUGGUGGGUAGUUUGACUGGGGCGGUCUCCUCCCAAAGCGUAACGGAGGAGCACGAAGGUUGGCUAAGUACGGUCGGACAUCGUACGGUUAGUGUAAUGGCACAAGCCAGCUUAACUGCGAGACAGACACGUCGAGCAGGUGCGAAAGCAGGUCAUAGUGAUCCGGUGGUUCUGUAUGGAAGGGCCAUCGCUCAACGGAUAAAAGGUACUCCGGGGAUAACAGGCUGAUACCGCCCAAGAGUUCAUAUCGACGGCGGUGUUUGGCACCUCGAUGUCGGCUCAUCACAUCCUGGGGCUGUAGUCGGUCCCAAGGGUAUGGCUGUUCGCCAUUUAAAGUGGUACGCGAGCUGGGUUUAGAACGUCGUGAGACAGUUCGGUCCCUAUCUGCCGUGGGCGUUUGAGAGUUGAGAGGGGUUGCUCCUAGUACGAGAGGACCGGAGUGAACGAACCUCUGGUGUUCGGGUUGUCACGCCAGUGGCACUGCCCGGUAGCUAUGUUCGGAAUCGAUAACCGCUGAAAGCAUCUAAGCGGGAAGCGAGCCUCAAGAUAAGCUCUCACUAGCACGUAAGUGCUCUAAAGGGUUGUUGAA